rnacentral:rRNA from 1 species
UAAUGUAUGGGGAUCUGCCCGAUAGAGGGGAAUAACUACUGGAAACGGUGGCUAAUACCGCAUAAUGUCUACGGACCAAAGCAGGGGCUCUUCGGACCUUGCACUAUCGGAUGAACCCAUAUGGGAUUAGCUAGUAGGUGGGGUAAAGGCUCACCUAGGCGGCGAUCUCUAGCUGGUCUGAGAGGAUGAUCAGCCACACUGGGACUGAGACACGGCCCAG